UACGGAGGGUGCAAGCGUUAUCCGGAUUCACUGGGUUUAAAGGGUGCGUAGGUGGGAAUGUAAGUCAGUGGUGAAAUCUCCGUGCUUAACAUGGAAACUGCCAUUGAUACUAUGUUUCUUGAAUUUUUCUGGAGGUCAGCGGAAUAUGUCAUGUAGCGGUGAAAUGCUUAGAUAUGACAUAGAACACCAAUUGCGAAGGCAGCUGACUACAGGGGAUAUUGACACUUGAGGCACGAAAGCGUGGGGAUCAAACAGG
rnacentral:rRNA from 1 species